rnacentral:lncRNA from 1 species
CCUUACUUAAUCCUUACAACUACCCUAAGAGGUAGGAACUACUGUCAUCUUUUUAUAGAUGAGGAAAGGGAGGUUUAGGGAAGUGAAGACAUUUAUUCAAGGUGACUCCGAGGGGAAGAGGCAGAGCACAAAAUUGAGUCCAGGUGUGACUAACUGUAUAAUAGUUCCCUGACUCUUAACCACUAGGCCACUUGAGAAAAAGAUUUUCUAGCUUCUCAGAGUUCAGAGUAUGGUUGGUUAAAAAAGAAAAAAGAAAAAAUGAUUUUUUUCCCUUAAAGCAUUUAAUGAUAACUCUGUUAGCAUGGUGGUAACUGUCUGGUGGCCUAUGCUAGGCACUGCCUGUUUCCCUUUCCUUCCCUCUGCUUAUCUCCUGCUUAAAUCCCAUUCUUCAUCCCCUCUCCCCCAAACCCGUGCAGGCCCACGUGAAUCGGAAUCCUUGCUCUGUUCAGCUGGCUAAGGCGAGUCCCGCAAAGCGCUGGCCUCCAGGUGCUUCUGCCAGGCCUUGUGGUGCAAGGGCCCUGCCUCCUCCCGCUCCAGCAGCAGCCCUGGCGAUGCCCACUGCGUUUCUCAGCUCUGUUGGCAGUGGGGGCAGAAGAGGCUGCCUGAGGCCCCCUCCCAGCAAAAGCCGUGGCCACACCUGCAAUGACUGGGUUGCAGCUCUGAGCUGCAAGCAUUGGCUGUGGCCUGGAGACCAGCCACUGGAUGAGAGAAACGCUGUAGGAUCUGCAGGUUGUCUGGAGGGACUCGGGGUCCCUUGGUGAAAAGAGAAACCACUGCCCUUGAGUCAUAAGUAUGAUCAUCCUUUCUUUUAACAAAGUGGCAUUUCUGCGGCAAGAAGACUUGAGUUCCUUCUAUAUAACCCAGGUCAUCUCCCGGCCCCUUUUCUGAGAUGAAAGUGGCUGUCUCUAACCUCUGACAACGCGGCGUCCUGCCGACACGAUGUGAAUGCCAGCGGCAGCAGUGCGCUGACUUCCAGGAGGGGGCAGUGGGGCUGGGGGACAUGAGGAGGCUGUAGGUGCCAGACCGUCUGAACAAAUGAGGAGAGGAGAGGAGUUCUUUCUCCUCCUGUUCCUUUUCCUCCCUACUUCUCUCUCACCUUCCCACUUCCCUGACUCUCCUCUCUACCCUGCUACUUCCUCAGUAGGUCUACUGUGAAAUGGACUGGACAUACAUCAGGACCGGGAGAAGAGAGAGGAAGUCAUGUCCUCACUUAGGAAAUGAGUCUGGUCUUUAGGAAGA